GAUGAACGCUAGCGGCAGGCCUAAUACAUGCAAGUCGAACGAGAUUGAGGAGCUUGCUCUUCAUGAAAGUGGCGCACGGGUGCGUAACGCGUAUGCAACCUACCUUAAUCAGGGGGAUAGCCUCUCGAAAGAGAGAUUAACACCGCAUAACAUUAUUAUAUGGCAUCAUAUGAUAAUCAAAUAUUUAUAGGAUUAAGAUGGGCAUGCGUGACAUUAGUUAGUUGGCGGGGUAACGGCCCACCAAGACGAUGAUGUCUAGGGGAUCUGAGAGGAUGACCCCACACACUGGUACUGAGACACAGACCAGACACCUACGGGAGGCAGCAGUAAGGAAUAUUGGGCAAUGGGCGCAAGCCUGAACCAGCCAUGCCGCGUGCAGGAAGACGGCCCUACGGGUUGUAAACUGCUUUUAUACUGGAAUAAACCUACUUACGUGUAAGUAGCUGAAUGUACAGUAAGAAUAAGGAUCGGCUAACUCCGUGCCAGCAGCCGCCGUAAAAC
rnacentral:rRNA from 1 species